GCUGUGAGCUGUCCCCCCCCAGGACCUCCCCUCGGAGCUGCAGGGAUGCACCAGGCUCCCACGGGAGGCUGCAUCAAAGGGGCCCAGGGCGCUUUAGGUUGGCGGCAGUGCAGGGCAACACCAAACUCAAGUCCUGUGCGCUGUGCUUGGUCUGCAGGAACCGUGCAGGAACAGAUCCACGUCUCGCGGGAGGCGGCAGAGCCCUGCACGCCAUGAGCGCAGCAUGGACCCCACACACAGCACGGACCCCACACACAGCACGGACCCGAAGCCACCGCACGUGUCAGGAGCGAUACCCACUCCAUCAGGCAUGAACUGCAUCCUCAGCCCCCUGCUCACAUAAGGCGCUGCUGAUUAUACACUAACAAUAUGCCCAGCACAGCCAAAAUAAAUUAAGGGGAGCCACAUCUAAAGCA